rnacentral:rRNA from 1 species
UUCGCAAUGCCCGAAAGGGUGACGAAGCGACGCCGCGUGUGGGAAGAAGGCCUUCGGGUUGUAAACCACUGUCGGGAGUUAAGAAAUGUAAGGGUGUUAAUAGCGUCCUUACUUGACUAAGGCUCCAGAGGAAGCCACGGCUAACUCUGUGCCAGCAGCCGCGGUAAUACAGAGGCGGCAAGCGUUGUUCGGAAUUAUUGGGCGUAAAGAGCACGUAGGCGGCUCUGUAAGUCAGCUGUGAAAGCCUUCUGCUUAACGGAAGAACAGCAGUUGAAACUACAGGGCUUGAGUGCGGGAGGGGAGAGUGGAACUUCUGGUGGAGCGGUGAAAUGCGUAGAUAUCAGGAGGAACGCCGGCGGCGAAAGCGGCUCUCUGGUCCGUAACUGACGCUGAGUGUGCGAAAGCUAGGGGAGCAAACGGGAUUAGAUACCCCGGUAGUCCUAGCCGUAAACGAUGGGCACUAAGUAGAGGGGUUUU